rnacentral:misc_RNA from 1 species
GCACCUACCGAUUGAAUGGUCCGGUGAAGCCUCGGGAUUGUGGCGAGUUCCCUUUAUUGGGAGUUUGUCGCGAGAACUUGUCUAAACCUUAUCAUUUAGAGGAAGGUGAAGUCGUAGCAAGGUUUCCGUAGGUGAACCUGCAGAAGGAUCAAGAUCGGAAGGGCACACGCAUGAACUCAAGUCACGUGCCUUGAAAUCGUAUGCCGUCUUCCGUUUGAAAAAAAAAAGGUAACCACAUACCAAGGCGGCGAACGGUAGGGGUCCUGAGACAG